AACCCUUUUCAAUCCCCUCUCCCUCUAAACCCAUCAGUUGCCACAAGGACUCUCCUCUACUACGUUGUCGUCGAUCCAAACCACCGGCGAUCAUCCCCCGACUGCCGAAAACCGGCCAACAGUCUCCCAAGCCUCUCUCUCUCUCUCUCUCUCUCUCUCUCUCUCUCUCUCUCUCUCUCUCCCACUACACCACUUGACCCAAUCUCCUUUCCCCUCGGUGUUGCCCCAG
rnacentral:lncRNA from 1 species